rnacentral:rRNA from 1 species
UGCGUAGGUGGUUUUGUUAGUCUUUCGUUAAAACUCUGGGCUCAACCCAGAGAUCGCGAAGGAAACGGCAUCACUAGAGGACGUGAGAGGCCACAGGAACUCAUGGUGUAGGGGUGAAAUCCGUUGAUAUCAUGGGGAACACCAAAAGCGAAGGCAUGUGGCUGGCGCGUUCCUGACACUGAAGCACGAAAGCGUGUAGCGAACG